rnacentral:rRNA from 1 species
AAAUUGAAGAGUUUGAUCAUGGCUCAGAUUGAACGCUGGCGGCAGGCCUAACACAUGCAAGUCGAACGGUAGCACAGAGGAGCUUGCUCCUUGGGUGACGAGUGGCGGACGGGUGAGUAAUGUCUGGGAAACUGCCCGAUGGAGGGGGAUAACUACUGGAAACGGUAGCUAAUACCGCAUAACGUCGCAAGACCAAAGAGGGGGACCUUCGGGCCUCUUGCCAUCGGAUGUGCCCAGAUGGGAUUAGCUAGUAGGUGGGGUAACGGCUCACCUAGGCGACGAUCCCUAGCUGGUCUGAGAGGAUGACCAGCCACACUGGAACUGAGACACGGUCCAGACUCCUACGGGAGGCAGCAGUGGGGAAUAUUGCACAAUGGGCGCAAGCCUGAUGCAGCCAUGCCGCGUGUAUGAAGAAGGCCUUCGGGUUGUAAAGUACUUUCAG